GACGAACGCUGGCGGCGUGCUUAACACAUGCAAGUCGAACGGAAAGGCCCUGCUUGCAGGGUGCUCGAGUGGCGAACGGGUGAGUAACACGUGGGUGAUCUGCCCCUUACUUUGGGAUAAGCCUGGGAAACUGGGUCUAAUACUGGAUAGGACCAUGCUGUAGGUGGUGUGGUGGAAAGAUUAGUUUCGGUAAGGGAUGAGCUCGCGGCCUAUCAGCUUGUUGGUGGGGUAAUGGCCUACCAAGGCGUCGACGGGUAGCCGGCCUGAGAGGGUGGACGGCCACAUUGGGACUGAGAUACGGCCCAGACUCCUACGGGAGGCAGCAGUGGGGAAUAUUGCACCAUGGGCGCAAGCCUGAUGCAGCGACGCCGCGUGGGGGAUGACGGCCUUCGGGUUGUAAACUCCUUUCAGCCAUGACGAAGCCCUUGUGGUGACGGUAGUGGUAGAAGAAGCACCGGCUAACUACGUG
rnacentral:rRNA from 1 species